UACCCCGCCUCCUGCCUCCCUGAGUCACCGGCGGCGGCCGCCGUUUCCAGCCGCCCAGCUCUAGCUCUGACUUGGUUCAAGAGCUCUCACAAGACACGCACAGCCUCUCGGGCCCGCCCCCUCGGAGCCGCUUCCGCCGCUCAUUGGCCCAGGCCAGGAAGCUGGGCGAGGCUCCUGGGUAAACAACCCGUCGCCAUUGGCCGGCCUGGCGCAGGCGGGGCGAGAGAAAAAAACAAUUCCUUGGCUGCCUCCUCCCUCUCCCCUCCCCCUUCCGACUCCCGGACGACCCCCAUUAGGUUAAAGUACACAGAGCGUAAGCGAGAGAUCCCUCCGCCGUAGCCAUUCUUUCCAUUUGUUGCCUGCGGUAUGCAAAAGAGUCCCGCGAAAUCGCUUAUCAACUUUAGGGCCCAGAGGAAAACUGCAGGGGUGCAUAGAUAAGACUGAAUGACGGGCCCCAGAGCUGUAUGUGCCUAUUGGAUUGCUCUUCAGUUGCGUAGGCUGUCGACGGAAGAUGGGCUUUCCACUUGGCGGAAGAAUCUCACAGGAAAGGGGUAAAGGGAAGAGAAGAUAUUAUGAGUCUUAUAUAGAAAUUGAAGGACUAGAUGAAGGCCAUAAUGAUGCAAGAAAUAGGAAGAGGUGACUUUGAAGGACAAAGGA